rnacentral:rRNA from 1 species
ACUGCUCAGUAACACGUGGCUAAUCUGCCCUUAGGACGAGAACAACCCCGGGAAACUGGGGCUAAUUCUCGAUAGGCGAAGAACACUGGAAUGUGUCUUCACCCAAACAGUACGGCGUUAUGCUCGUUGCACCGCCUAAGGAUGAGGCCGCGGCCGAUCAGGUUGUUGGUGAGGUAAUGGCUCACCAAGCCUUUUACCGGUGCGGGCCGUGGGAGCGGGAGCCCGGAGAUGGGUACUGAGACAAGGACCCAGGCCCUACGGGGCGCAGCAGUCGCGAAAACUUUGCAAUAGGCGAAAGCCUGACAGGGCUAUCCCGAGUGCCAUCCGCUGAGGAAGGCUUUUACCCAGUCUAGAACGCUGGGGGAAUAAGGAGAGGGCAAGUCUGGUGUCAGCCGCCGCGGUAAUACCAGCUCUCCGAGUGGUGUGGAUGUUUAUUGGGCCUAAAGCAUCCGUAGCUGGCUAAGUUAGUCCCUUGUUAAAUCCACCGAAUUAAUCGUUGGAUCGCGGGGGAUACUGCUUGGCUAGGGGACGAGAGAGGCAGACGGUAUUUUCGGGGUAGGGGUGAAAUCCUAUAAUCCCGGGAAGACCACCAGUGGCGAAGGCUGUCUGCUAGAACGCGCCCGACGGUGAGGGAUGAAAGCUGGGGGAGCGAACCGGAUUAGAUACCCGGGUAGUCCCAGCUGUAAACGAUGCAGACUAGGUGUUUGGACGGCCACGUGCCGUUCUAGUGCCGCAGGGAAGCUGUUAAGUCUGCCGCCUGGGGAGUACGAUCGCAAGAUUGAAACUUAAAGGAAUUGGCGGGGGAGCA